rnacentral:rRNA from 1 species
GUCUAGUCUGUAACUGACGCUGAGGCUCGAAAGCAUGGGUAGCGAACAGGAUUAGAUACCUGGUAGUCCAUGCCGUAAACGAUGAGUGCUAAGUGUUGGAGGGUUCCGCCUUUCAGUGCUGCAGCUAACGCAUUAAGCACUCCGCUGGGGAGUACGACCGCAAGGUUGAAACUCAAAGGAAUUGACGGGGGCCCGCACAAGCGGUGGAGCAUGUGGUUUAAUUCGAAGCUACGCGAAGAACCUUACCAGGUCUUGACAUCUUCUGCCAAUCUUAGAGAUAAGACGUUCCCUUCGGGGACAGAAUGACAGGUGGUGCAUGGUUGUCGUCAGCUCGUGUCGUGAGAUGUUGGGUUAAGUCCCGCAACGAGCGCAACCCUUAUUAUCAGUUGCCAGCAUUCAGUUGGGCACUCUGGUGAGACUGCCGGUGACAAACCGGAGGAAGGUGGGGAUGACGUCAAAUCAUCAUGCCCCUUAUGACCUGGGCUACACACGUGCUACAAUGGGCGGUACAACGAGUCGCGAAGUCGUGAGGCUAAGCUAAUCUCUUAAAGCCGUUCUCAGUUCGGAUUGUAGGCUGCAACUCGCCUACAUGAAGUUGGAAUCGCUAGUAAUCGCGGAUCAGCAUGCCGCGGUGAAUACGUUCCCGGGCCUUGUACACACCGCCCGUCACACCAUGAGAGUUUGUAACACCCAAGGUCGGUGGGGUAACCUUUAGGAACCAGCCGCCUAAGGUGGGACAGAUGAUUAGGGUGAAGUCGUAACAAGGUAACCA